CAAAGCAUAGUUCAAAGUAGAACACUUCUUUUACACGGAAGAAGUACUCGUUCGACCCGAGUUGCCUUGA
rnacentral:tRNA from 1 species